rnacentral:rRNA from 1 species
GUAGGGAAUCUUCCACAAUGGACGAAAGUCUGAUGGAGCAACGCCGCGUGAGUGAAGAAGGAUUUCGGUUCGUAAAACUCUGUUGCAAGGGAAGAACAAGUAGCGUAGUAACUGGCGCUACCUUGACGGUACCUUGUUAGAAAGCCACGGCUAACUACGUGCCAGCAGCCGCGGUAAUACGUAGGUGGCAAGCGUUGUCCGGAAUUAUUGGGCGUAAAGCGCGCGCAGGUGGUUCCUUAAGUCUGAUGUGAAAGCCCCCGGCUCAACCGGGGAGGGUCAUUGGAAACUGGGGAACUUGAGUGCAGAAGAGGAUAGUGGAAUUCCAAGUGUAGCGGUGAAAUGCGUAGAGAUUUGGAGGAACACCAGUGGCGAAGGCGACUGUCUGGUCUGUAACUGACACUGAGGCGCGAAAGCGUGGGGAGCAAACAGGAUUAGAAACCCGAGUAGUCC